GCAGUCUGGCUGCUGCACAAAAAGAGUUUUUAAAGAGGGGUUGGGGCUGUGCUACGUGGUGAGCUUGGUUUCUGACCCUUGUCCAUAGCCAUGUGCUUUCACCAACCUGCCCCACUGCCCCCAUUCCUCUCGUUCGUUAGAGGGAAAACCGAUUACCUCAACUUGAAUAUGAAACUGUGGUUGAAGAAAAAGCAGAACGAACGUUCAGCAGUUUCUAAGCCAAGAGGGCAAGCUAGCCGAAGCCUCCAUAGGUGCUCCCUAGCCUGCUCAGGAACUGGGGGGCAGCGACCACACACUGAGUUCUGAGGACUAGGAGAGGGAUCUGCUUGCUCCUCUGCCGAUCCCAACGACAUGCAGGUCCCUUGACUUUGAUGUGGGGUUUAACACCCACUUGAUUCCUCUAGUCCAAGAGUGUGGUCUCAGGCUAUCUCCAGCGGGGGAAGCCAUGAUAGUCUUAGCCUCUGAUCUUAGAAGUGGGUAUCAUGGACCCAGCAAGGAUUUUAGGGAUCAGCUCCCAGGACAGACAGAAGCCCUCCCGGCUUUCUCCCAGCUUUCCUGUCAGCAGCUUCAGUUCUUACCACAGAGUGAGUGUGAUAGUGGUGCGGUCACUGAAGUUAUGGGCAGUUUUGUUUUCCUGCGGGAUUUCCCUUUGUUGACUGGAGGGAGACUAGAAAGCAAACAUUGCAAGCAAGUUAGGCCCAGCAAGGCCUCAGGCUCUUUGACCUGAGGCCCAGACACCAGCCCUUCAGGCUGUGAUCAAUAAAAACGUCCCUCCUAAAUCCUGUUAGGAUUUUGGAGAAUUUUUGCACAGUAAAAAGCUCUGGCUUCUCAAAAGGGAAAAGUUCAAUUCAAAGACUGUAAACUUAAGUAUUCCAGCCAUGCUGCUGACUAGUUGGAUAGCUGUACCUCAAAAAAUAGGUGGGGGUGGCUUUCCCACUAUCCCACACCGUCACAUACUAAUGAAGAGCUCACUUACGUGCCAAAAUUCACUUUUAUACUAGUUUUUCAAUGCUUUAAUAUUUGUAACUUAAAUUUUAAAAUUCAUAUUUACAAACACUACUAUAACUUCAGUGAAACUGAAUUGUGUGAUUGAAACUUUUUGCUUAUUAUAGUAUUUAUUACACUACUUAAUUCAGUAAAUAUAUAAAAGUAGCCUUCAAUUUAUUUUUAUAUUAUUUUACAUGUUUUUAUCUGCAGUUGUGUCUGUGAAUUUCACUUGGAAUUAAGAUGUAAUGCUAAGGACCAAUAAACUGUCACUCAACAAGU
rnacentral:lncRNA from 1 species